GAUGAACGCUGGCGGCGUGCCUAAUACAUGCAAGUCGAGCGAACAGACGAGGAGCUUGCUCCUCUGACGUUAGCGGCGGACGGGUGAGUAACACGUGGAUAACCUACCUAUAAGACUGGGAUAACUUCGGGAAACCGGAGCUAAUACCGGAUAAUAUAUUGAACCGCAUGGUUCAAUAGUGAAAGACGGUUUUGCUGUCACUUAUAGAUGGACCCGCGCCGCAUUAGCUAGUUGGUAAGGUAACGGCUUACCAAGGCAACGAUGCGUAGCCGACCUGAGAGGGUGAUCGGCCACACUGGAACUGAGACACGGUCCAGACUCCUACGGGAGGCAGCAGUAGGGAAUCUUCCGCAAUGGGCGAAAGCCUGACGGAGCAACGCCGCGUGAGUGAUGAAGGUCUUCGGAUCGUAAAACUCUGUUAUUAGGGAAGAACAAAUGUGUAAGUAACUAUGCACGUCUUGACUGUACCUAAUCAGAAAGCCACGGCUAACUACGU
rnacentral:rRNA from 1 species